rnacentral:piRNA from 1 species
UGGACUUACUCACUCUCUUGAAGGAUUGUC